UCGGCUUCCCAAAGUGCUGGGAUUACAGGCAUGAGCCACUGCACCCAGUCAGAAAUAUUGAAACAAUAGACACUAAGACAUGUCUUGGUUAAAUGAUUGCAUUUUAGAGCUUAAAAAUGGGGAUGGGGGAAAAUUUCUAAGCAGAAAGUUCACAUCCUUUAUAAGGUAGAAAAAUCAAUCUGGCUUCAGGUAUUGCAUGCUCCCAUUUCUUUUUAGCCAUUCAACCAUCCAUCCACCUUUCUAUCAAUAGAUACACAUAGAGAGACACUGUAUCUGGAAUCAAGUUCAUGUAGUAUUCACUUUUAUUUUUCAUUUUUAUUUUUAGAGAUGGGGUCUCGAUAUGUUGCUCAGGCUGGAGUGUAGCAUGCUAUGGUCCCGUCGUGUGACCAUAGCACACUGCAGCCAAGAACUACUGGACUCAAGAGAUCCUCCCACCUCAGCCUCCCAAGCAGCUGGGACCACAGAGGCAUACAACCAUACCUGGCUGUUCAUGGAGUAUUAACAGUGGGCUGAGAGUUAGCUUUGGAUCGCCUGAGCCCUGCUGGUAUCACGUGUCUUCCGUUUCCAAGAAUCCAGAUUGGAAGAGUAACCUUUGAUGAUACUGAUGUGGA